UACAGAGGGUGCGAGCGUUAAUCGGGAUUACUGGGCGUAAAGCGCGCGUAGGCGGCUUUGCAAGUCGGGUGUGAAAUCCCCAGGCUUAACCUGGGAACUGCAUUCGAGACUGCAUUGCUAGAGUAUGGGAGAGGGAAGUGGAAUUUCAGGUGUAGCGGUGAAAUGCGUAGAUAUCUGAAGGAACAUCAGUGGCGAAAGCGACUUCCUGGACCAAUACUGACGCUCAUGUGCGAAAGCGUGGGGAGCAAACAGG
rnacentral:rRNA from 1 species